rnacentral:rRNA from 1 species
GAAGUGAAGUAAGGAAAGGAGCUUCGGCUUCACUUGGAAGGAACCGGCCCGCGCACUUAUUAGCUAGUUGGUGAGGUACGCUCACCAAGGCAACGAUAGUUAUCCGGCCUAAGAGGGUGAACGGACACAUUGGGACUGAGAUACGGCCCAGACUCCUACGGGAGGCAGCAGCUAAGAAUAUUCCGCAAUGGAGGAAGCUCUGACGGAGCGACGCCGCGUGGAUGAUGAAGGUCGGAAGAUUGUAAAAUCCUUUUAAGUAUGAUGAAUAACCUGAUCAGGAAAUGGGACAGGGAUGACCGUAAUACUUGAAUAAGCAACGGCUAAUUACGUG